AACACGUGGGGAACCUGCCCCAUAGUCUGGGAUACCACUUGGAAACAGGUGCUAAUACCGGAUAAGAAAGCGGAUCGCAUGAUCAGCUUUUAAAAGGCGGCGUAAGCUGUCGCUAUGGGAUGGCCCCGCGGUGCAUUAGCUAGUUGGUAAGGUAAAGGCUUACCAAGGCGAUGAUGCAUAGCCGAGUUGAGAGACUGAUCGGCCACAUUGGGACUGAGACACGGCCCAAACUCCUACGGGAGGCAGCAG
rnacentral:rRNA from 1 species